CCUCCCCCUUCAACAAACCACAGCAACAAAAAACCCACACUGCAAAAACAACUUCUCGAGAGCACGCUCACCCCACCCCUCGUCACGAGCCCCAAGACAAGCGAGCGAGAUGGCCCCGGCCUCUUCUCAGAAACGAACUCGUUGCUCUUACUGAGAACUUUGGAUGAACGGCCCCAAAUCGAGAAAGCGAUGAAUUCUAAAGCAACACUUGGGGGGUGGGGUGGCCCUGAUUAGCUACAUUUCCCAUCGUAGAUUAUUAGCUCAGUGCUGACUAGAGAACUUAUAUAUAAAUCGGUAUUAUUAACGGAUGUGGCCGAGGUGCGUGUACACUGAGCGUGCCCAUCAAGAAAGUCUUCUGAAUUUUUUUUCUCCUUGUGAUCAAAGAGUAUAAGUGCACAAUUCAUUUUUGUGUUUGAGGUAAUAGUGAGAUCUUUGUGUAUAGUCUUGUUUCAGAAACCCGAAAGAAAGGUUUAUAUAGAUUUUGCUGUCAUGAAAAGUGCUGACCAUUGUCAUGCUGACAAGCGUUUCCCCCUGUGAAUUGACUUAACCUGUUUUUCAGGAAAUCCAGUUUUUGUUUGGGAGUGUUGACUCACUGCUGUGGGAGAAAAGCAGGGUACACUUUUUUGAGCGUCUUAGUAAAUGGGAGCAUUGUUGUAUGUGUUUAUUCUGGUAUCACGUUCUUAGGCUAUUUAGUGUACAUUUAAACUGAUGCAUCUUAAUAAAAUAAAAAUUCAUGAACAUAAAUAAGGAUUAGAACACUA